rnacentral:rRNA from 1 species
GCUUAACCGAAGAAGUGCAUCGGAAACUGGGUGACUUGAGUGCAGAAGAGGACAGUGGAACUCCAUGUGUAGCGGUGGAAUGCGUAGAUAUAUGGAAGAACACCAGUGGCGAAGGCGGCUGUCUGGUCUGCAACUGACGCUGAGGCUCGAAAGCAUGGGUAGCGAACAGGAUUAGAUACCCUGGUAGUCCAUGCCGUAAACGAUGAGUGCUAGGUGUUGGAGGGUUUCCGCCCUUCAGUGCCGGAGCUAACGUAUUAAGCACUCCGCCUGGGGAGUACGACCGCAAGGUUGAAACUCAAAGGAAUUGACGGGGGCCCGCACAAGCGGUGGAGCAUGUGGUUUAAUUCGAAGCUACGCGAAGAACCUUACCAGGUCUUGACAUCUUGCGCUAACCUAAGAGAUUAGGCGUUCCCUUCGGGGACGCAAUGACAGGUGGUGCAUGGUCGUCGUCAGCUCGUGUCGUGAGAUGUUGGGUUAAGUCCCGCAACGAGCGCAACCCUUGUUACUAGUUGCCAGCAUUCAGUUGGGCACUCUAGUGAGACUGCCGGUGACAAACCGGAGGAAGGUGGGGACGACGUCAGAUCAUCAUGCCCCUUAUGACCUGGGCUACACACGUGCUACAAUGGUCGGUACAACG